rnacentral:rRNA from 1 species
GGGUGAGUAAUAUAUCGGAACGUGCCCAGUCGUGGGGGAUAACGUAGCGAAAGCUACGCUAAUACCGCAUACGAUCUAUGGAUGAAAGCGGGGGAUCGCAAGACCUCGCGCGAUUGGAGCGGCCGAUAUCAGAUUAGGUAGUUGGUGAGGUAAAGGCUCACCAAGCCGACGAUCUGUAGCUGGUCUGAGAGGACGACCAGCCACACUGGGACUGAGACACGGCCCAGACUCCUACGGGAGGCAGCAGUGGGGAAUUUUGGACAAUGGGCGCAAGCCUGAUCCAGCAAUGCCGCGUGCAGGAUGAAGGCCUUCGGGUUGUAAACUGCUUUUGUACGGAGCGAAAAGGCUUCCACUAAUGCUGGGGGCUCAUGACGGUACCGUAAGAAUAAGCACCGGCU